rnacentral:ribozyme from 1 species
AAGUUAGUUAGAGUAUGGCGUAUUGCUCGUAUCUCUAUAUGUAUUUUUUUUGUUUGCUUUUCUCCAUCUCUCAUUUUUA